rnacentral:rRNA from 1 species
AACGAACGCUGGCGGCGUGCCUAACACAUGCAAGUCGAGCGCGAAAGGAGCAAUCCGAGUAGAGCGGCGCACGGGUGCGUAACACGUGGAUAAUCUGCCUCAGGGUUGAGGAUAACCUUCCGAAAGGUUGGCUAAUACUCGGUAAGCUUACGGUGACUUCGGUCGCUGUGAGAAAACUAGACCUCUAUUUAUAAGUUUAGGCCCAGAGAUGAGUCCGCGGCCCAUCAGCUAGUUGGCGGGGUAACGGCCCACCAAGGCUACGACGGGUAGCUGGUCUGAGAGGACGAUCAGCCACACUGGAACUGAGACACGGUCCAGACUCCUACGGGGGGCAGCAGUGGGGAAUUUUCCACAAUGGGCGAAAGCCUGAUGGAGCAACGCCGCGUGUGUGAUGAAGGUCUUCGGAUCGUAAAACACUUUCGACUGGGACGAAAAACCUUUGGCUAACAUCCAGGGGCCUGACGGUACCAGGAGAAGAAGCACCGGCUAACUCUGUGCCAGCCGCCGCGGUAAAAC